rnacentral:rRNA from 1 species
GCGAUCACACAAUCACUAAUGCACCGGAUCCCAUCAGAACUCCCAAGUUAAGCGUGCUUGGGUGAGAGCUGUACUAGGAUGGGUGACCCCCUGGGAAGUUCUUGUGUUGCACCU